rnacentral:lncRNA from 1 species
CGUGCUGUUGCUGCUGCUGCUGCUGCUGUUGCUGCUGCUGCAGAUACUCGCCGUGGCCGCCGCCGCCUCCGCCGCCGUCCACGUCCAAGAUAUGCCUGCUGCUCGUGGAAGGAAGAAGUGAGCACGGAAUCCCUUUGGAAUCCCAGAUGGUUAUGAGUUGCCACAGGGAUCAUGGAGAUUUGACUAAGUCAGAAGACCACUCACAGGUUGAUCCUUUUGUUCCACAGUGUGAGUCGCAGAUAUCAAACUCAGGUGGCCAGGCCUGGCAGCAAGCUCUUUUGGCCAUUCAGCCAUCUCACUGGCCCUGUGGAAACCUUUUGAAGAAGAUGGACGCACAUGAGCACAAGCUCAGAAAUGAUUAGUUUGA